rnacentral:rRNA from 1 species
GUCGAACGGGGAUGCAUUAAGAAGGAGUGCUUGCAUUCCGGAAGGAUGUAUCUUAGUGGCGGACGGGUGAGUAACGCGUGGGUAACCUGCCCCAUACCGGGGGAUACCACCUGGAAACAGGUGCUAAUACCGCAUAAGCGCACGGGAGCGCAUGCUCCUGUGUGAAAAACUCCGGUGGUAUGGGAUGGACCCGCGUCUGAUUAGCCAGUUGGCAGGGUAACGGCCUACCAAAGCGACGAUCAGUAGCCGGCCUGAGAGGGUGGACGGCCACAUUGGGACUGAGACACGGCCCAAACUCCUACGGGAGGCAGCAGUGGGGAAUAUUGCACAAUGGGGGAAACCCUGAUGCAGCGACGCCGCGUGAGUGAAGAAGUAUUUCGGUAUGUAAAGCUCUAUCAGCAGGAACGAGACAAGACGGUACCUGACUAAGAAGCCCCGGCUAACUACGUGCCAGCAGCCGCGGUAAUACGUAAGGGGCAAGCGUUAUCCCGAAUCACUGGGUGUAAAGGG